GGGGGGGGGGGGGGGGGGGGGGAGGGGAUGCGAGUCGAGCGGGGGGGGGCGGCUGUUGUGGGGGGGUCGGGUGGCGAACGGGGGGGUAACACGUGGGUAACCUGCCCUUGACUUUGGGAUAACGUCAGGAAACUGGGGCUAAUACCGGCUAGGAGCUCCUGCUGCAUGGUGGGGGUUGGAAAGUUUCGGCGGUGGGGGAUGGACUCGCGGCUUAGCAGCUUGUUGGUGGGGUAGUGGCUUACCAAGGCUUUGACGGGUAGCCGGCCUGAGAGGGUGACCGGCCACAUUGGGACUGAGAUACGGCCCAGACUCCUACGGGAGGCAGCAGUGGGGAAUAUUGCACAAUGGGCGGAAGCCUGAUGCAGCAACGCCGCGUGCGGGAUGACGGCCUUCGGGUUGUAAACCGCUUUCGCCUGUGACGAAGCGUGAGUGACGGUAAUGGGUAAAGAAGCACCGGCUAACUACGUG
rnacentral:rRNA from 1 species